CAACUCAAAAUAGUAACUAUCACCAGGCAUCUGAAGCAGGAAAAAGGAGAGCUAUCGGGUGGGGCUG
rnacentral:snoRNA from 10 species